rnacentral:misc_RNA from 1 species
GAUGAAGAACGUAGCGAAAUGCGAUAAGUAGUGUGAAUUGCAGAAUUCAGUGAAUCAUCGAAUCUUUGAACUCACAUUGCGGCCAUAGGUAUUCCUUUGGCCAUGCCUGUUCGAGCGUCAUUUACACCCUCAAGCCUAGCUUGGUGUUGGGCGUCUGUCCCGCCGUUCUCGCGCGCGGACUCGCCUCAAAGUCAUUGGCGGCGGUCGUGCCGGCCCCCUCGCGCAGCACAUUUGCGCUUCUCGGAGGCCCGGCGGAUCCGCGCUCCAGCAAGACCUUUCACGACUUGACCUCGGAUCAGGUAGGGAUACCCGCUGAACUUAAGCAUAUCAAUAAGCGGAGGA